rnacentral:misc_RNA from 1 species
GAUGAAGAACGUAGCGAAAUGCGAUAAGUAAUGUGAAUUGCAGAAUUCAGUGAAUCAUCGAAUCUUUGAACGCACAUUGCGCCCGCCAGUAUUCUGGCGGGCAUGCCUGUUCGAGCGUCAUUUCAACCAUCAAGCCCCAGGCUUGUGUUGGAGCCCUGCGGCUGCCGCAGCCUCCCAAAACCAGUGGCGGGCUCGCUAUCACACCGAGUGCAGUAGUUUACUCUUCGCUCAGGGCGUGUGGCGGGUGCUAGCCGUGAAACCCCCAACUUCUCACGGUUGACCUCGGAUCAGGUAGGAAUACCCGCUGAACUUAUGCAUAUCAAUAAGCGGAGGA